rnacentral:lncRNA from 10 species
UUUUUGUGCGUGUGUGCAUGUGUCUGUAGAAAGAUUGAGAGAGAUAAUCUUGUAUCUAGACCUCCAAUUACAAAAAUGAUUAUCAUUUUGAAUGACAUGGGCUAAGAACCCUGCUAAGGAUGUUUUAAAGCCAUUAUCCUAUUUUAUUAUGAUGAUGACCCUGCAAAGGAACCAUUAUUCUCCCCAUUCUAUAAACGAGAAAAACUGAGGCUUAGAGAGGUGAAGGAACUCCCUGCAGUUCAAGGAGAUAAUCAGUGAGUCCCAGGGAGAGUCUGUUCUUUCAUUCUUCUCCCCUGGCUCAAAGGCAGCUCUAUUUAAUAAUUUAGCUUAGGAUACCACCAUUGUAACCCUUCUUUAACCCAAGUGUGUUCUUGCCCUUAUUUCAGUCCAGCAACUUCGGAUUCAGAGAGGUUAACUGAGUCGCAGAAGAUCAUGCAGCAAACCCGUGCCAGUUUAACCACCACCCGGCCACCUAACAUCCAUGAUACUAUUUUGAUUUUCUGGAACUAAAGAGAAAGUAGAAAGAGAUUGAAAUCAAGCCUUGGUCAUUUUUAAUUUAUCAUCUUUGUCUGAGAAUUUUUACUUAAUAUUGAAAUAGCAUUUUCCCUCUUCCCUUCACCUAGAACUGCAAAGCAAGAGCAAGGGAAUGGGAGAAAAUCUAUAAAAACAAGAUCCUUGCUACUUUAUGGUAAUUAAAAGCAAUAAAUAUUCUUGCCCACAAUGCUAAAAAUCUCAAAUAGCCAGUGGGUCAAUACUGUUUCCCUGGUUAGGGUGGUAAUAAAUCUCUAUUCUUUUCGAGUCAAAAUAAGGACGGGGUUUUAUUCAUGAAUUCUGUGACCUGGUACUGCGACAUUUUCAAAACAAACACGCCUGGAAUGAAGAGUUUCUCCACAAGUGUGUGUAUGUGCCCUCUUCCAACCUGUUUCCUCCACCCACAAAGUGUCUGUGCUGGUGUGGUCUUCUUAUUGAUGCAACAGCAGUAUUUUUCUCCUGAACCAUAAUGGCAAAAUGACACGAGGCCUCCACUCUUCCUUCUCACCAUCACUGUAGCCCAGCACAUUUUCUAUCCUGAGUUUAGUUCAGCCAGUGUUCACUGAGCACUUGUUAUGCACCAGACCCUCUGAUAGGCAAUGCUGGAGACAGAGAUGAAUAGGACACAGCUUCUGCCCUCAAGGAGGCCACAGGUUUAUAAACAUCCCUAGAGGCUUCAGAAGGAGCUGGCACUGCCAACAACUUGAUUUCAGACUUCCAGCCACCAGAACUCUGAAAGAAUAAACUUCCAUUAUUUUCAGCAGGCAGCCCUAGGAAACAAGUAUAUUUGAUGACCAGAUAUUUUUCCUUCAUUCCUGGUUGCCCAUCGUCAGUCUCCUUUCCUGGUUCCUACUAAUUUCCCUUACUAUUAAAUAUUGGAGUAUUCCAGGUAGAAGACUUUGAACCGUUUUUAACUCUACUGUAGCAUACUUGCUACAUACUUAUUAGAUCCAGGACCUUGGCUUCAACAGCAUUUAUGCGGUGAUGCAUUCUCAUUGUAAAUUUAAGGCAUACUUAGUAUG